rnacentral:tRNA from 1 species
GGCUCCAUAGUGUAGUGGUUAGUACAUCUGCUUUGCACACAGAAGGUCCUGGGUUCACUCUCCAGGUGGAGCCA